UAAGUAUAAGCAAUCUAUACGGUGAACUGCGAAUGGCUCAUUAAAUCAGUUAUCGUUUAUUUGAUAGUACCUUACUACUUGGAUAACCGUGGUAAUUCUAGAGCUAAUACAUGCUAAAAACCCCGACUUCGGAAGGGGUGUAUUUAUUAGAUAAAAAACCAAUGCCCUUCGGGGCUCUCUGGUGAUUCAUAAUAACUUAACGAAUCGCAUGGCCUUGUGCCGGCGAUGGUUCAUUCAAAUUUCUGCCCUAUCAACUUUCGAUUGUAAGGUCUUGGCUUACAAUGGUUUCAACGGGUAACGGGGAAUUAGGGUUCGAUUCCGGAGAGGGAGCCUGAGAAACGGCUACCACAUCCAAGGAAGGCAGCAGGCGCGCAAAUUACCCAAUCCCGACACGGGGAGGUAGUGACAAUAAAUACUGAUACAGGGCUCUUUUGGGUCUUGUAAUUGGAAUGAGUACAAUUUAAAUCCCUUAACGAGGAACAAUUGGAGGGCAAGUCUGGUGCCAGCAGCCGCGGUAAUUCCAGCUCCAAUAGCGUAUAUUAAAGUUGUUGCAGUUAAAAAGCUCGUAGUUGAACCUUGGGCCUGGCUGGCCGGUCCGCCUCACCGCGUGCACUGGUCCGGCCGGGCCUUUCCUCCUGGGGAGCCGCAUGCCCUUCACUGGGUGUGCCGGGGAACCAGGACUUUUACUUUGAAAAAAUUAGAGUGUUCAAAGCAGGCCUAUGCUCGAAUACAUUAGCAUGGAAUAAUAGAAUAGGACGUGUGGUUCUAUUUUGUUGGUUUCUAGGACCGCCGUAAUGAUUAAUAGGGAUAGUCGGGGGCAUCAGUAUUCAAUUGUCAGAGGUGAAAUUCUUGGAUUUAUUGAAGACUAACUACUGCGAA
rnacentral:rRNA from 1 species